rnacentral:rRNA from 1 species
GACGAACGCUGGCGGCGUGCUUAACACAUGCAAGUCGAACGGAAAGGCCCUGCUUUUGUGGGGUGCUCGAGUGGCGAACGGGUGAGUAACACGUGAGUAACCUGCCCUUGACUUUGGGAUAACUUCAGGAAACUGGGGCUAUAACCGGAUAGGAGCUCUUGCGCCUGGGGGGGGUUUGGAAGGUUUCGGCGGUGGGGGAUGGACUCGCGGCUUACCAGCUGGUUGGUGGGGUAGUGGCUUACCAAGGCUUUGACGGGUAGCCGGCCUGGGAGGGUGACCGGCCACAUUGGGACUGAGAUACGGCCCAGACUCCUACGGGAGGCAGCAGUGGGGAAUAUUGCACAAUGGGCGGAAGCCUGAUGCAGCAACGCCGCGUGCGGGAUGACGGCCUUCGGGUUGUAAACCGCUUUCGCCUGUGACGAAGCGUGAGUGACGGUAAUGGGUAAAGAAGCACCGGCUAACUACGUG